CGCAGGGAGCAGCUCCAAGAUGUCGGCGCCCAUCAGCCGGGGCAGCCGCGGCGCCGAGCCCGGCGCGGCUCCCUACGGAAACUUCCCGAAUUAUUCCCGCUUCCACCCGCCCGAGGCGCGCAUCAGCCUCCUGCCCCGAGGGCUCCUGCGCAGCCUCUUCCCCGCGGCCACCCGCCCGCUCCUCGGGCUCGAUGUGGGCUGCAACUCCGGGGAGCUCAGCGUGGCUCUGUACCAGCACCUGCUGGGGCUCCAGGACAGCAGUUCCAGCCCGGAGCCGCCGGGGGCCGGGAAGGAGCUGAAGCUGCUGUGCUGCGACAUCGAUCCCGAGCUGAUCCGGAGGGCCCAGCAGAGCAGCCCCUUCCCUGCUUCCAUCUCCUUCGCCAGCCUGGACAUCAUGGACUCGGGGGCCAGGGAGCCCUUCCUGAGCUCCUACCUGGAGCGCUUCGGCCGCUCCUCCUUCGACAUCGGCUUCUGCAUGUCCGUGACCAUGUGGAUCCACCUGAACCACGGCGACGGGGGCCUGCUGGAGUUCCUGGCCCUGCUGGCCUCGCUGUGCACCUUCCUGCUGGUGGAGCCCCAGCCCUGGAGGUGCUACCGGGCGGCCGCGCGCCGGCUCCGCAGGCUGGGCCGCGGCGACUUCGAGCACUUCCGCUCGCUGCGGAUCAACGGGGACAUGGCCGAGAGCGUCACGCGCAUCCUGACCCAGCAGUGUGCCAUGGAGCUCGUCUGCUCCUUCGGGAGCACCUCCUGGGACAGGAGCCUGCUGCUCUUCAAAUCCACUGCUGCCCGGCCUGAGGGCUCCGGCUGAGCGGCGGCCUCGCACAGCCGCGGGUUCACGGGCAAGGAGGCAGAGCUGGGAGUUCCUAAAUCCCCGUUGGGACCAGGCCCUGGCUUCCCGUGAGAAUCCAGGACAAGGAAUGUCUGUGACUGAUUUUUUCAACCAGUUUUGUGGGGUGGGAGGUUGUUCAAGCAGGUGCUCCUGGAAUCCAGGCUCCUACGUGUGCUUUCCGUGUGUGUCAAGAAUAUUCCCUGGAAUACCAGUCCCUCAGAGGCCUGCCCUGGAUCCAGGUGUGGCCUCACCUGGCCCAGCAAAGGUGAAUUAUUGAUCCCACCUGAAUCCCACCCUGCCGGGACAGUGCUGCCGUUCCUGAAUACCAGGGAACAUGUCCUAGGGAAUGUAGAAUGUCCUGACUGGAAUGGCCUCACAAGGAUCCUUGAGUCCAGCUCCUGGCCCAGCACACGACAUCCCAAAAAAAUCCCACUAAUCCCAAAAUCCUGAUGCCCAAGUUGUCCGGACAUUGCCAGACCUCCAGAAUCGUGGAAUAUCCAGAGCUGGAAGGGACCUGUGAGGAUCUUGGAGUCAUGGAAGAUCCAGAGCUGGAAGGGACCCGCCUGAAUCAUCAACUCCAACUCCUGGCCCCACACAGGACAUCCCAAAAUCCCACCCAGUGCCUGAGAGUGUUGUCCAAGCACUCCCUGACCUCCAGAAUUAUGGAAGAAUCAGAGUUGAAAGGGACCCACAAGGAUGGCAGAGUCAUGGAGUACCCUGAGUUGGAAGGGACCAACUCCAACUCCUGGCCCAGGACAACCCCAAAAUCCCACUGAUCCCAAAAUCCCAGCACCCUGAGCUCUGGCUUCUUGGGGCUGUCGCCAUUCCCUGGACAGUUGUUCCAGUGCCCAACACCCUCUGGAUGAGGAAUCUUUUCCCAAAAUGCACCCAAAACUCCCCAGGACUGGGGUGAGGCACCUGCAGGACCAUCCCCUCCCUGGACCCAGCAGCCCUGGCUCAGCUCUCCCAGGACAGGGGUUCAUCCCUAACGCUCCGUGCUCCUGCUGCCCAGGAAGGUGUUGGGACUGGAGAGGUGGGAACAGCUCUGGGAUACAGCGAUGGCAGAGCCUGGAGGAGAUCCCGUGGAUCCCAGCUGCAGUGUCCUGGUGCAUCCCUUCCCCACCUGAGGCAGAGGAGUCCUGGCUCACCUGUUCUCCUCCCCUUCCACGAGCUUCCUGUAGGUGAGGAUCUCCACGUCCAGGGCCAGUUUGAUGUUCAUGAGCUCCUGGUACUC